rnacentral:rRNA from 1 species
GGGUUGUGAGGUUAAGCGACUAAGCGUACACGGUGGAUGCCCUGGCAGUCAGAGGCGAUGAAGGGCGUACUAAUCUGCGAUAAGCGCCGGUAAGGUGAUAUGAACCGUUAUAACCGGCGAUACCCGAAUGGGGAAACCCAGUGUGAUUCGUCACACUAUCAUUAACUGAAUCCAUAGGUUAAUGAGGCGAACCGGGGGAACUGAAACAUCUAAGUACCCCGAGGAAAAGAAAUCAACCGAGAUUCCCCCAGUAGCGGCGAGCGAACGGGGAGGAGCCCAGAGCCUGAAUCAGCAUGUGUGUUAGUGGAAGCGUCUGGAAAGGCGCGCGAUACAGGGUGACAGCCCCGUACACAAAAGCGCAUGUGCUGUGAGCUCGAUGAGUAGGGCGGGACACGUGGUAUCCUGUCUGAAUAUGGGGGGACCAUCCUCCAAGGCUAAAUACUCCUGACUGACCGAUAGUGAACCAGUACCGUGAGGGAAAGGCGAAAAGAACCCCGGCGAGGGGAGUGAAAAAGAACCUGAAACCGUGUACGUACAAGCAGUGGGAGCACAGGUUUACCUGUGUGACUGCGUACCUUUUGUAUAAUGGGUCAGCGACUUAUAUUCUGUAGCAAGGUUAACCGAAUAGGGGAGCCGGAGGGAAACCGAGUCUUAAUUGGGCGUUAAGUUGCAGGGUAUAGACCCGAAACCCGGUGAUCUAGCCAUGGGCAGGUUGAAGGUUGGGUAACACUAACUGGAGGACCGAACCGACUAAUGUUGAAAAAUUAGCGGAUGACCUGUGGCUGGGGGUGAAAGGCCAAUCAAACCGGGAGAUAGCUGGUUCUCCCCGAAAGCUAUUUAGGUAGCGCCUCGUGAAUUCAUCUCCGGGGGUAGAGCACUGUUUCGGCUAGGGGGCCAUCCCGGCUUACCAACCCGAUGCAAACUGCGAAUACCGGAGAAUGUUAUCACGGGAGACACACGGCGGGUGCUAACGUCCGUCGUGAAGAGGGAAACAACCCAGACCGCCAGCUAAGGUCCCAAAGUCAUGGUUAAGUGGGAAACGAUGUGGGAAGGCCCAGACAGCCAGGAUGUUGGCUUAGAAGCAGCCAUCAUUUAAAGAAAGCGUAAUAGCUCACUGGUCGAGUCGGCCUGCGCGGAAGAUGUAACGGGGCUAAACCAUGCACCGAAGCUGCGGCAGCGACACUGUGUG